AUUGAACGCUGGCGGCAGGCCUAACACAUGCAAGUCGAACGAGUGGCGGACGGGUGAGUAAUGUCUGGGAAACUGCCUGAUGGAGGGGGAUAACUACUGGAAACGGUAGCUAAUACCGCAUACCAUCAGAUGUGCCCAGAUGGGAUUAGCUAGUUGGUGGGGUAACGGCUCACCAAGGCGACGAUCCCUAGCUGGUCUGAGAGGAUGACCAGCCACACUGGAACUGAGACACGGUCCAGAUUCCUACGGUAGGCAGCAGUGGGGAAGAUUGCACAAUGGGCGAAAGCCUGAUGCAGCCAUGCCGCGUGUAUGAAGACGGCCGUCGGGUUGUAAAGUUCUGUCCGCGAGGAGGCGUUACCCGCAGAAGAAGCACCGGCUAACUCCGUGCCAGCAGCCGCGGUAAUAC
rnacentral:rRNA from 1 species